UUUCUUCUGUCAGGCUAGACUUGAAAAAAUGGGUGACGACAAGACUUUUGGGAUUGCUCAGCCAAGUCGCCACUCGCUUCCCUUACCCAACCAACCAAUAUUACCCGUAACUGAGAUUUGUCUUGCCAUAUAGGCACAAGUACCGUCAACUUUUGAAGCAUCCCUCUAGCUUUGGACGCUUCAGAGGAUGUUGUUCUCUGCGUGGGUGUGCGUGAGAGAUUAAAUAAUGGGUAUAUAUAAUAUCACAGUACAGUUAAUUCAGUCAAUUCAUUUCCUCUCCAAGCUAUGUAGAGUUGAAAUG